rnacentral:rRNA from 1 species
AGUGAACGCUGGCGGUAGGCCUAACACAUGCAAGUCGAACGGCAGCACAGUAAGAGCUUGCUCUUACGGGUGGCGAGUGGCGGACGGGUGAGGAAUACAUCGGAAUCUACUUUUUCGUGGGGGAUAACGUAGGGAAACUUACGCUAAUACCGCAUACGACCUACGGGUGAAAGCAGGGGAUCUUCGGACCUUGCGCGAUUGAAUGAGCCGAUGUCGGAUUAGCUAGUUGGCGGGGUAAAGGCCCACCAAGGCGACGAUCCGUAGCUGGUCUGAGAGGAUGAUCAGCCACACUGGAACUGAGACACGGUCCAGACUCCUACGGGGGGCAGCAGUGGGGAAUAUUGGACAAUGGGCGCAAGCCUGAUCCAGCCAUACCGCGUGGGUGAAGAAGGCCUUCGGGUUGUAAAGCCCUUUUGUUGAGAAAGAAAAGCAGCAGGUUAAUACCCCGCUGUUCUGACGGUACCCAAAGAAUAAGCACCGGCUAACUUCGUG